rnacentral:rRNA from 1 species
UGCGAGUCAACGUAGCAAUACGUGGCAUACGGCUCAGUAACACGUAGUCAACAUGCCCAGGGGACGUGGAUAACCUCGGGAAACUGAGGAUAAACCACGAUAGGUCAUAAUAUCUGGAAUGAUUUAUGGCUAAAAUCUACAUGGCCCCUGGAUUGGACUGCGGCCGAUCAGGCUGUUGGUGAGGUAAUGGCCCACCAAACCUAAAACCGGUACGGGCUCUGAGAGGAGAAGCCCGGAGAUGGGCACUGAGACAAGGGCCCAGGCCCUAUGGGGCGCAGCAGGCGCGAAAACUCUGCAAUAAGCGAAAGCUUGACAGGGUUAUUCUGAGUGAUUUCCGCUAAGGAAAUCUUUUGGCACCUCUAAAAAUGGUGCAGAAUAAGGGGUGGGCAAGCCUGGUGUCAGCCGCCGCGGUAAUACCAGCACCCCGAGUGGUCGGGACGAUUAUUGGGCCUAAAGCAUCCGUAGCCGGUUCUACAAGUCUUCCGUUAAAUCCAUCUGCUUAACAGAUGGGCUGCGGAGGAUACUAUGGAGCUAGGAGGCGGGAGAGGCAAGCGGUACUUAGUGGGUAGGGGUAAAAUCCGUUGAUCCACUGAAGACCACCAGUGGCGAAGGCGGCUUGCCAGAACGCGCUCGACGGUGAGGGAUGAAAGCUGGGGGAGCAAACCGGAUUAGAUACCCGGGUAGUCCCAGCUGUAAACGAUGCAGACUCGGUGAUGAAUAGGCUUCGUGCCUUUUCAGUGCCGCAGGGAAGCCGUUAAGUCUGCCGCCCGGGGAGUACGGUCGCAAGACUGAAACUUAA